AUGCAUGCCCGCACACAAACCUCUUCCAGCCAACAGCUCUCAGCCAACUGCCUCACCUAUCAGGCAGGAAACUGUAGUGUGUUCUCCACUGGCUCCCAGAGUUGCCCAGGGUGGGUUCAGUCCCCUCCACCCACACAUGGCCUGCCGGACCCUCCACUCCCCACUUCCCUCCUUCACUCCCCCACCAGUGCCCCCUGGCUGUCCUCCCAAAUGAACUGCUUGCUGCGAAUCCUUGUCUCAGGGUCUUCUCCUGAGGAAACCCACACUAAGACAACACUGAUUGGGGUGUAUGUUUUUUGCUUUUUUGUUAAGGAUUCGCCAUAUGAGAAUAUUUACCUCUCACUCACUGGGCUGAGAACCUGUCAGAACUUCCGAAUUAUGGGAACAAAAGAAACCCAAACUAUGAGUCACAAUGUCAAUAUGGAAAACCUCCGGAGAAGGCAAUGGCACCCCACUCCAGUACACUUGCCUGGAAAAUCCCAUGGAUGGAGGAGCCUGGUAGGCUGCAGUCCAUGGGGUCCCUAAGAGUCAGACACGACUGAGCAACUUCACUUUCAUGCAUUGGAGAAGGAAAUGGCAACCCACUCCAGUGUUCUUGCCUGGAGAAUCCCAGGGAUGGGGGAGCCUGGUGGGCUGCCGUCUAUGGGGUCACACAGAGUUGGACACGACUGAAGCGACUUAGCAGCAGCAGCAGCAGCAUGGAAAACCUCAAAAUUGUUUUUUCUUUAAGUUGCUCAUCUAUGUUUUUUUUGCUGUUGUUAUAGUAGCCAGAGGGAGAUGUAGGAGAUGCGGGUUUGAUCCCUGGGUUGGGAAGAUCCCCUGGAAGAAGAAAUGGCAACCCACUCCAGUAUUCUUGCCUGGGAAAUCCCGUGGACAGAGGAGCCUGAUGGGCUACAGUCCAUGGGGUCAUAAAGAGUCGGACACAACUGAGCAUGCACGCACAUGGUAGCCAGAAUUGACUAAAACACUCAUCUUUGACAAAACAAGGAGACAUCUGAGGCUCCAAACCAUACAAGACUGAUGGCAGUGAUCCCCAGGGCAGUGAGGCUCCGUAAGGACAUGGGCAGGAGUGGAGUCAGCACACCCAUGUCAUGGGAGAAGAUCUCAGGUGGGGCUGGUGAGGCAGAGGGCUCAGAGUAGACGGUGAACAAAGCCAAACCUCAGCUCGAAGAGCAGCAUGCAGAGAAUGAAGGCAGAGCAAAGAGGGCAAAGCUCAGGGAAGGCGCAGGCAGAAAUAACAUGUAUUUUCAGGAGAAAGCCUGCCAGCGAGCUCAGAGAGAGGAGGACUGUGCUACGAGCAGCCUUCCACCUGCCUAUUUUUUCACUGAGAAGAAAUAAAGGCUAAAUUCACUUGCUUAAUGCCA
rnacentral:lncRNA from 1 species